UUGGGGAUGAGAUUUUGACCUGUUUGCCAUUCUCUGAGCAUUGAUGCUGUUCUGAAGCCUGAC
rnacentral:snoRNA from 1 species